CACACUGCCGAGAAAAGCCUCUAGAUAGAAAAUAGGUGCCCGUACCGCAAACCGACACAGGUAGUCAAGAUGAGAAUUCUAAGGUGAGCGAGCGAACUCUCGUUAAGGAACUCGGCAAAAUGACCCCGUAACUUCGGGAGAAGGGGUGCUCUUUAGGGUUAACGCCCAGAAGAGCCGCAGUGAAUAGGCCCAAGCGACUGUUUAUCAAAAACACAGGUCUCUGCUAAACCGUAAGGUGAUGUAUAGGGGCUGACGCCUGCCCGGUGCUGGAAGGUUAAGAGGAGUGGUUAGCUUCUGCGAAGCUACGAAUCGAAGCCCCAGUAAACGGCGGCCGUAACUAUAACGGUCCUAAGGUAGCGAAAUUCCUUGUCGGGUAAGUUCCGACCCGCACGAAAGGCGUAACGAUUUGGGCACUGUCUCAACGAGAGACUCGGUGAAAUCAUAGUACCUGUGAAGAUGCAGGUUACCCGCGACAGGACGGAAAGACCCCGUGGAGCUUUACUGUAGCCUGAUAUUGAAAUUCGGCACAGCUUGUACAGGAUAGGUAGGAGCCUUUGAAACGUGAGCGCUAGCUUACGUGGAGGCGCUGGUGGGAUACUACCCUAGCUGUGUUGGCUUUCUAACCCGCACCACUUAUCGUGGUGGGAGACAGUGUCAGGCGGGCAGUUUGACUGGGGCGGUCGCCUCCUAAAAGGUAACGGAGGCGCUCAAAGGUUCCCUCAGAAUGGUUGGAAAUCAUUCAUAGAGUGUAAAGGCAUAAGGGAGCUUGACUGCGAGACCUACAAGUCGAGCAGGGUCGAAAGACGGACUUAGUGAUCCGGUGGUUCCGCAUGGAAGGGCCAUCGCUCAACGGAUAAAAGCUACCCCGGGGAUAACAGGCUUAUCUCCCCCAAGAGUUCACAUCGACGGGGAGGUUUGGCACCUCGAUGUCGGCUCAUCGCAUCCUGGGGCUGUAGUCGGUCCCAAGGGUUGGGCUGUUCGCCCAUUAAAGCGGUACGCGAGCUGGGUUCAGAACGUCGUGAGACAGUUCGGUCCCUAUCCGUCGUGGGCGUAGGAAAUUUGAGAGGAGCUGUCCUUAGUACGAGAGGACCGGGAUGGACAUACCUCUGGUGUACCAGUUGUCGUGCCAACGGCAUAGCUGGGUAGCUAUGUGUGGACGGGAUAAGUGCUGAAAGCAUCUAAGCAUGAAGCCCCCCUCAAGAUGAGAUUUCCCAACUUCGGUUAUAAGAUCCCUCAAAGAUGAUGAGGUUAAUAGGUUCGAGGU
rnacentral:rRNA from 1 species